rnacentral:rRNA from 1 species
AACGAACGCUGGCGGCAGGCCUAACACAUGCAAGUCGAACGUGAAGCCACCUUCGGGUGGUGGAAAGUGGCAGACGGGUGAGUAACGCGUGGGAACGUGCCUUUCGGUUCGGAAUAACUCAGGGAAACUUGGGCUAAUACCGGAUAAGCGCUUCGGGGAAAGAUUCAUCGCCGAAAGAUCGGCCCGCGUCGGAUUAGAUAGUGGGUAGGGUAAUGGCUUACCAAGGCAACUAUCCGUAGCGGGUCUGAGAGGAUGACCCGCCACACUGGGACUGAGACACGGCCCAGACUCCUACGGGAGGCAGCAGUGGGGAAUAUUGGACAAUGGGCGAAAGCCUGAUCCAGCCAUGCCACGUGGGUGAAGAAGGCCUUAGGGUUGUAAACCCCUUUCAGCGGGGAAGAUAAUGACGGUACCCGCAGAAGAAGCCCCGGCUAACUCCGUGCCAGCCGCCGCCGUAAGAC